rnacentral:lncRNA from 1 species
UAUAGAUGUAUCCUCCACUCCUCGCUGGGCACCAUCCUGCUGCCCAACAGAAGAAGCUCUUCUGUCUCCGAUUUCCUGAACGGUCUAAGGGACAGGCCUUUUAGAGGCAGCAAAAGGGAAUACUGGUCUCUGGAAAGUCCAGACAGAACUCUAGCAGCUCCGAUGGCUUGAUGAUCUCUUCCAGGGAGCCGGUGGGCUAGGCCCAUGCUUUGCUUCAAAGCGUUUGGAGAACAUCUUCUUGCUCCUUUUCCGGAAACGAGAUAAUGGACACAGAGUCCCAGACGUCAUCCUUUGGACCAGGAAGAAACAGGCUCCUGCCAGCACCGACAGCAACGAAAAUGUUCCCACGGAGAUCAGGAUGACUUGCUGAAGCUCAGUGGAGGCUAAAAAGAGGACACGAAAGUGAACAGAAUGAUCUUCCUACGCACAACACAAACAUCAGUUAAUGUUCCAUCCAUGCUGCUUAAAGAGCAUUCCUGUCCUAGUAAAAUGGGCAAGUCCCUCUACCCCCACCCUCACCUGGUAUGCUUACAUUAAUAGCUAAAGUCAAUCCUGUAAUGAAAUAAAAGCAAGUGGUAGCUGUCUGGUAGCCUCCACUACCGCAAAUCUCAGCACAAGCUCAUUAUUCCUGCAGUUCAGCACUCUUCUCACUGGGUCUCCCCACUCCCA